rnacentral:tRNA from 1 species
GGCGGAGUAGCUCAGCUGGUUAGAGCAGCGGAAUCAUAAUCCGCGAGUCGGCGGUUCGAGUCCGCCCUCCGCUACCA